CAAAGACCAUCCCUGUUUUUGUCACGUGGAAGUAAUCAUGAGAAACAUUAUAAAAUUAAACGCUGUGCUUUGGAGUCGUCCUUGACAUAGAAAUUUCGAACCGUGGUUUCUUUGAGUUUUUUUUUUGUUGUUAUUUUUUAUUGCGUUUGUUCCUUUAUGUCAACAAAGUUAUUUAGCUAAUAUGAAAUUCGAAUACAUUUUGCUUACAUGCUAUAUUACAUAUAUUAUCCCCGCGUUAGCGGCAAAAAGUGUGCUGCUUUCAAAAGAGUCAUUACCAGAACUAGACACAAAAAGCGAUGAAGAAAUAGCUGAAGCUGAAGCUGCUGCGGAUGAACAUGUAAUCGAAGAAUCAAAUGAAGUCGAAUCUGAGGAGCCAACAGACCACCACGUUAAGAAAAAGCAUCCCCACAACAAAACUGCAGAGGCAACGUUGGAUGAACUGAAGGACAUGCUCAAAAAUCUUACCGAGACAUCAAAUGUUACAUCUUCAGAAGAAGAGAUUGAAACAACAACGCCGUAUAAUGUCAAGCACUACCUCACAGCGGAACAGAAAUACUAUAUGCUGAGAAUUAAUCUUCUUGGUAUUGGAAUCCGUGUGGUUCACGACAUCAUCCCUAUCCCAGUGCUCAAUACAGAUCAGUACAAGAAAUCGAUGGAAGCUCUUUUAGAUAAAGUGCAAGCGGCUCGCGUGGCAUCAUCCAAUGUGACUGCUGGGAAAAUGCACAACAUCACACUCGAGGAUGCCCACAAGCUCCAACUGAAAAUGACUCAUUCUGGAUCGACUGUGGCCCCAGCAGCAUCCAAGGCGACCCACAUCAGCCGGACAACCGAGGCCAUGAUUCUGGUUGGCGUGGUUGUUGGCAUAGUCCUGAUCGGUGGUCUGCUGUACGCCUGCAAACGCUCCAUGGACGGCAGGGGAGACUACUACGACCAUCUGCAGGGCGGCGGCGGAGCCGUGCCCCUCAACUAGUCCCAGUUAGAACCGCCGUCUAGCUGCCGUGACUACCAGCCAGGCAGAGCAAGACUAUUGAUACAGUUUGCCAGCGUAUGUAGUCCAACAUUUUUUUUACCCGCUGCUGUGUUGCUGGAUGUUCAGCAGCUUUAAUUUAUACGCGGUGAGCGCUGCACGUUUUUCGCUAAAAGUGUAUCACUUUAGUUGAAUUGAAAUGCAUUAUCAAAUUUACAACUGAAUCUGGUCAGUUUUUCCAUUUUUAUGCUAAUAAAAAGCGAGGCGUGUCGUC